AUGCAAUGUUUGGAGAUCUACUUCACUGGGACAUUCUCUAGUCAGCUCACUGUUCACUAUCUAGCUCUUGUCAUAUGCCUUUGCUUGAGGACAAGCAAAGAUUUAAGUGUGGGGGAACUUGAUAGAGCAUUUCUUCAUAUAAUCUUUUUAGCCUUUUUGCAUCCUAUUGUAAUCAUAUUUUCACAUUAUUUACUUAAGAAAUAUUCUAAUACCCCCAUUAUGCUACAUUUACAACACUCCUCCAUGUUUUGCAGAAAAGGGCGAAAAAGCCCAAAAUCCUUCUAUAAUGGAGAGUGUCAAGAAACUGUGGUUGCUGUAAUUUACGGAGGGACCCGGCCGUGA
rnacentral:rRNA from 1 species